CCCUUAGAUGUCCGGGGCCGCACGCGCGCUACACUGAAGGAAUCAGCGUGGCUUUCUCCCUGACCCGAAAGGGUUGGGAAACCCGUUGAAUCUCCUUCGUGAUAGGGAUUGGGGCUUGAAAUUGUUCCCCAUGAACGAGGAAUUCCCAGUAAGCGCGAGUCAUAAGCUCGCGUUGAUUACGUCCCUGCCCUUUGUACACACCGCCCGUCGCUACUACCGAUUGAACGGUUUAGUGAGGGCCUCGGAUUGGUCUCGGCCCGCUCUUUACCGGGCGGCGCCGUUGGUCGAGAAGACGCUCGAACUUGAUCGUUUAGAGUAAGUAAAAGUCGUAACA
rnacentral:rRNA from 1 species